CCUACGGGUGGCAGCAGUGGGGAAUAUUGGACAAUGGGCGAAAGCCUGAUCCAGCAACGCCGCGUGAGCGAUGAAGGCCUUCGGGUCGUAAAGCUCUGUCCUCAAGGGAGCUAAUGACGGUACUUGAGGCGGAAGCCCCAGCUAACUACGUGCAAGCAGCCGCGGUAACACGUAGAGGGCUAGCGUUAUCCGGAAUUACUGGGCGUAAAGGGUGCGUAGGUGGUUUCGUAAGUCAGAGGUGAAAGGCUACGGCUCAACCGUAGUAAGCCGUUGAAACUGGGAAACUUGAGUGCAGGAGAGGAGAGUGGAAUUCGUGGUGUAGCGGUGAAAUGCGUAGAUAUUACGAGGAACACCAGUUGCGAAGGCGGCUCACUGGACUGUAACUGACACUGAGGCACGAAAGCGUGGGGAGCAAACAGGAUUAGAUACCCUUGUAGUC
rnacentral:rRNA from 1 species